rnacentral:rRNA from 1 species
CCCUUAGAUGUUCUGGGCUGCACGCGUGCUACAAUGGCGUUUCCAGCAAGUCUGCGAACCCGAGAGGGCCAGCGGAUCUUCGAAUUGACGUCGUGAUCGGGACAGUCGAUUGCAAUUAUUUGACUCAAACGAGGAAUUCCUUGUAAUCGCGAUUCAUCAUAUCGCGCUGAAUACGUCCCUGCCCUUUGUACACACCGCCCGUCGCUCCUACCGAUUGAGCGAUCCGGUAAAUGUUUUGGAUUGGUGCCGGGGCGGCUAGCUGCCGGUCGCUACGAAAUUUUGUGAACCUUAUCGCUUAGAGGAAGGAAAAGUCGUAACA